rnacentral:rRNA from 1 species
UACGUAGGGAGCAAGCGUUGUCCGGAUUUACUGGGCGUAAAGAGCGCGCAGGCGGUCGUUCAAGUCGAGUGUGAAAGCCCCCGGCUCAACUGGGGAGGGUCACUCGAUACUGAUCGACUCGAAGGCAGAAGAGGGAAGCGGAAUUCCCGGUGUAGUGGUGAAAUGCGUAGAUAUCGGGAGGAACAUCAGUGGCGAAGGCGGCUGCCUGGCCCAAUACUGACACUCAGGUGCGACAGCGUGGGGAGCAACAGG